rnacentral:lncRNA from 1 species
GCAGGGGCUCGAGGAUUUCUGAGCGGUCCUGGAAAAAAUUUGCCCAGAGCUGAGGUGGGAAGCCAGCUACAUAAGCCCUGGGCAUUGGCUCCGCAGCCUCCUGCUCAUCCUGCUGGUGAGCAGCCGGUGACUCUGAGGGCCUUGGAAGAACUAUCUCAAGAAAGUCUUCGUCGGACCGAACAGAGUAAAUGAUGCUGCUGAUAGCCUGCCUGCACAGCGGGCACGAUGGUUGCCUCUUGGCCCAACGCACAAUGCAGCCCAGGCAGAACAGGUGGACGCAGGGUGUUACAGAAGCGAUUUCAGCUGGAAUGUCACGGCAGAUGGGGCAGUUCCACUCGGUGGCCAUGCUUGCGUGUUGUAGCAGAGCUGGGGACAGCAGCUGCUCCUUCUUUGUUGGCGUAACACUCUGAAAAAUGGUCACUUGCUGUCCCAGGGAAAUGGGCAGGUAGAAGAAAUGCCCAAGCCCCUCAAGAAGGACACACUCACAGCUCCCCAGACACCAUCACCCACCCCAGGGCCACCCUAUGGAAGCACAUUUCCUGCACCACUCACCUGUGCUGCUGCAAGCACCAGCCACAGUACUUAGCUUCCUGAACCAGAUAGGGCUAAGGAAACGGUCAAAGUCUUGUGCAUGAGAAGUGAGAGUUGCUGACAGCAGCUCCCAAUGGCCUCACAGGCUUCCAGUCCUCCCAGGCACGCUUGCCAGGAGUCCAGACACGAGUGAGUCUGAAGCAGACACUGCCCGUGCCCAAACAUAAGCAGUGAGGGAUGUGAGGUCACAGUGCAUUGCUCACUUAGGUUGCCAACCAUGGAGUGUGGGGACUGCUGAUGUCAUGGUCCGCUCUUCUGUACUGGCAACCUUGACUGCCUUCCAAAUCUGCCAUAGCAUGUCUUUCUCCCCUGCAGGUACAUGGCAUCAGGAGAAAAAAUGGGCACUGAGCAUGACCACUGUUCAGGGCUCCUUCAGUCCCUUUUGGCUGGGUUGCUGCCUGCUGCUUACGCCCCAUGAAGAUGGUCUGUCAUACCCUGCAGCUGUGGGCAAGAAGCUUUCCAGACUCCCAGGGUGGGUCCCAAGGGUGGCCUGGGGGUUGCUUCUUGUCCUCCUGUAGCACUGGCAACAGCCCCUGUCAGGGCUCCUCUGGGCUCCUGUGACUCCGUUCUUGCCUGCUGCCCUCACACCUCCAAGGCACCACUUGUGCCCUGGCUCUCUCUGGCUCUCUUGCCCAUUGCAAACCUGGAGUGGGGCUGAGCUCUGCUCUUUCCUUGGC